rnacentral:tRNA from 1 species
GCGGGCGUAGCUCAGCUGGUAGAGCUCCGGAUUGUGAUUCCGGUGGUCGAGGGUUCAAACCCCUUCGCUCGCCCCA